AGAUGAGCCUAAGUCGGAUUAGCUAGUUGGUGGGGUAAAGGCCUACCAAGGCGACGAUCUGUAGCGGGUCUGAGAGGAUGAUCCGCCACACUGGGACUGAGACACGGCCCAGACUCCUACGGGAGGCAGCAGUGGGGAAUAUUGGACAAUGGGGGGAACCCUGAUCCAGCCAUGCCGCGUGUGUGAAGAAGGCCUUUUGGUUGUAAAGCACUUUAAGCGAGGAGGAGGCUACUCUAGUUAAUACCUAGAGAUAGUGGACGUUACUCGCAGAAUAAGCACCGGCUAACUCUGUGCCAGCAGCCGCGGUAAUACAGAGGGUGCAAGCGUUAAUCGGAUUUACUGGGCGUAAAGCGCGCGUAGGUGGCCAAUUAAGUCAAAUGUGAAAUCCCCGAGCUUAACUUGGGAAUUGCAUUCGAUACUGGUUGGCUAGAGUAUGGGAGAGGAUGGUAGAAUUCCAGGUGUAGCGGUGAAAUGCGUAGAGAUCUGGAGGAAUACCGAUGGCGAAGGCAGCCAUCUGGC
rnacentral:rRNA from 1 species